UGCAGCGUGGCUCAGUGGAAAGAGCCCGGGCUUAGUAGUCAUAAGACCUGGGUUCGAAUCCCGGCUCUGCCA
rnacentral:tRNA from 1 species